ensembl:lncRNA
UUUAUUUAUUUAUUUUUCCUUGUAUUCUUGCAGGUUUCAAAUACAGUGUAGAGAUAACUUUACACUUUAUUUCGCCCCUGUUUUGGAGCAGUUGCUGGGAGAUAUUUCUGCAUCCAGCCAAGAGCUGCUGCCCUCCUUCAUCUCUGUGACUGGGGCCAUGUGCCUGGAUCAAGUCAUUAACAGCAAGAUGGCCAACCGGGCAGAGUUUUGGGAGAGCUCUUUCACUGCCUUGGGGCGGCAUGCCAGCUGUGAACAGACGAGCGUUCUCUAUCCUCUCCUCGGCCUGAUGAUCAACAUCGCUGCAGUUCCCAAUCUUUGCAUUCAAGUAAAGUGGAAGGGGGA